rnacentral:rRNA from 1 species
CCUANGGGAGGCUGCAGCUAAGAAUCUUCCGCAAUGGGGGAAACCCUGACGGAGCGACGCCGCGUGGACGAUGAAGGCCGAAAGGUUGUAAAGUCCUUUUCUCUGUGAAGAAUAAGUGGGGGAGGAAAUGCCCGCAUGAUGACGUUAGCAGAGGAAUAAGCCCCGGCUAACUACGUGCCAGCAGCCGCGGUAACACGUAGGGGGCGAGCGUUGUUCGGAAUUAUUGGGCGUAAAGGGCGCGCAGGCGGCCGGAUAAGUCUGGUGUUUAAGGCCACAGCUUAACUGUGGUAAUGCGCUGGAAACUGUCGGGCUAGAGUGCAGGAGGGGGAGCUGGAAUUCCAGGUGUAGGGGUGAAAUCUGUAGAGAUCUGGAAGAACACCGGUGGCGAAGGCGAGCUCCUGGCCAUGGACUGACGCUGAGGCGCGAAAGCGUGGGGAGCAAACAGGAUUAGAUACCCCGNUANUC